UAGUGAGUUUGAUCCUGGCUCAGAACGAACGCUGGCGGCAUGCCUAACACAUGCAAGUCGAACGAGACCUUCGGGUCUAGUGGCGCACGGGUGCGUAACGCGUGGGAAUCUGCCCUUGGGUUCGGAAUAACUCAGAGAAAUUUGUGCUAAUACCGUAUGAUGUCGAAAGACCAAAGAUUUAUCGCCCAAGGAUGAGCCCGCGUCGGAUUAGCUAGUUGGUGAGGUAAAGGCUCACCAAGGCGACGAUCCGUAGCUGGUCUGAGAGGAUGAUCAGCCACACUGGGACUGAGACACGGCCCAGACUCCGUACGGGAGGCAGCAGUGGGGAAUAUGCACAAUGGGCGGAAGCCUGAUGCAGCGACG
rnacentral:rRNA from 1 species